rnacentral:rRNA from 1 species
GACGUAGGGUGCGAGCGUUGUCCGGAAUUAUUGGGCGUAAAGAGCUCGUAGGCGGUGUGUCACGUCGGCCGUGAAAACCUGGGGCUUAACUCUGGGCGUGCGGUCGAUACGGGCAUCACUAGAGUUCGGCAGGGGAGACUGGAAUUCCCUGGGUGUAGCGGUGAAAUGCGCAGAUAUCAGGAGGAACACCGAUGGCGAAGGCAGGUCUCUGGGCAUUAAACUGACGCUGGAGGAGCGAAAGCCAUGGGGAGCGAACAGGA